GACGAACGCUGGCGGCGUGCUUAACACAUGCAAGUCGAACGGAAAGGCCCUGCUUUUGUGGGGUGCUCGAGUGGCGAACGGGUGAGUAACACGUGAGUAACCUGCCCUUGACUUUGGGAUAACUUCAGGAAACUGGGGCUAAUACCGGAUAGGAGCUCCUGCUGCAUGGUGGGGGUUGGAAAGUUUCGGCGGUUGGGGAUGGACUCGCGGCUUAUCAGCUUGUUGGUGAGGUAGUGGCUUACAAAGGCUUUGACGGGUAGCCGGCGUGAGAGGGUGAGCGGCCAAACUGGAAGGGAGAGAGGGGCCAGAAUGAUACGGGAGGCAGCAGUAGGGAAUGGUCCGCAAUGGGCGAUAGAGUGACGGAGAAACGCCGCGUGAGUGAUGAAGGUCUUGGGAGCGGAAAAAUCUGUUAAGAGGGAAGAAAAAAGGUGUAAGUAACUAUGCACGGCUUGACGGUACGUAAUCAGAAAGCAACGGCUAACUACGUG
rnacentral:rRNA from 1 species